ACUUUCUAUAGCGCUCCAGAUGUCUUGUGUGUACCGUUUGAUUUAAUGACGCCAUACUACAGUUUUUGAUACAAUAACUAAAUAUUCUAUUAUGACGACCUAUAUAUGACAUAUAUCAUCUGCAACCAGAAUAAUCACAGUAUAUCUACUUUUUAGUGUAAGCGCAAAAAUACUCAAAACUGGCUGUUCCACGUAACUUAUAAAUACGGCCGGUUAUCUCAAUUUGAUACAUCAAAUUCCAUAUUUUACGUAGGCCAAGUUACAGAUACAAUAUACCUAUUUCUAUUCUAAAGCAAAAUAAGCAAUUUAGUACAUUUCAAUUUAUUUUUUGGUGUAAAAUUCCAUAAAACAAAAAUUCCGCGAAAUGAUGUUAUCGUCUUUGCAUGGCAACUAUAAACCAGGUGACGUUAAAUGCAUCAAUACUUCUGAUCUUCCUCAUCAAAAUUAACAAACAAUGUAACAAACAACACCGGGCGUUGUAAGGCUAGCUUC
rnacentral:lncRNA from 1 species